GAGAAGAGUUAAGAAACAAGG
rnacentral:tRNA from 1 species